rnacentral:rRNA from 1 species
CCUACGGGUGGCAGCAGUGGGGAAUAUUGCACAAUGGGGGAAACCCUGAUGCAGCGACGCCGCGUGAGUGAAGAAGGAAUUCGUUAUGUAAAGCUCUAUCAGCAGGGAAGAAAAUGACGGUACCUGAGUAAGAAGCACCGGCUAACUACGUGCCAGCAGCCGCGGUAAUACGUAGGGGGCAAGCGCUAUCCCGAUUUGCUGGGUGGAAAGGGUGCGCAGACGGCAGUGCAAGUCUGGAGGGAAAGGCGGGGGCGCAACCCCCGGAAUGCUCUGGAAACUGUACGGCUGGAGUGCAGGAGAGGAGAGUGGAAUUCCUAGUGUAGCGGUGAAAUGUGUAGAUAUUAGGAGGAACACCAGUGGCGAAGGCGGCUUACUGGACUGUAACUGACGUUGAGGCUCGAAAGCGUGGGGAGCAAACAGGAUUAGAUACCCGGGUAGUC